rnacentral:rRNA from 1 species
CACGUAGGGCGCAAGCGUUGUCCGGAAUUAUUGGGCGUAAAGAGCUCGUAGGUGGUUUGCUGCGUCCGCUGUGAAAACCCAAGGCUUAACCUUGGGCUUGCAGUGGAUACGGGCAGACUAGAGGUAGGUAGGGGAGAAUGGAAUUCCCGGUGUAGCGGUGAAAUGCGCAGAUAUCAGGAGGAACACCGGUGGCGAAGGCGGUUCUCUGGGCCUUACCUGACACUGAGGAGCGAAAGCGUGGGGAGCAAACAGG